GCGCAAAGGUAACAGUGGGUGUGUUCGCUGUGUCCCACUCCAGGAAGCGAAAGGUCACAAGAACUUUGCACAUGAUGAAAAUUUGCUCUCACCCUGGCUUUGAGCUGCCAUGUAAGAAGUCUGAAUACCUUGAGACUGCCCAGGAAGCCAUAAGAAGCUAGAUAUAGGAAGAAUUUGCAUGGAGAAAGAGCAAUACCUAGUCAUCCUGACCAUCUCCAAGUUGUCCCAGCUUUUCCAGGGGGCUAUAUUUUAUACAUGACCAGCAAUCGCCACAUAGAAGCCUAUCUCUGCUGCUUACCAGAAUUCCCGUCUCUUUUUCUUCUAACAAUAUGAAGGCCUUAUCUUCCACUUGUUCACACCUUUUGUGGGCUUCAGAAAGCCUGAUGUAGGGAUAGCUCCAUCAUAUCAGAAGUAAGCCCAUCCCUGGAACCAGUGAUGGGUGCAGAAGACAAUAUACGACUAAAUAAAUGUGAAAGAGGGUUUUCAGGGAGGAUCUGCCAGAAAUUAACCGUCACAGUGAAAGAGAUUCUCACAGUACUCUCUUCCUUGAGUGUUACCAAGAUACUUCUGCAGUGGUUUGGCUACUUCCUCGAAGACAAACCUUCUGUCAAGAGCAAGGAAAUGAGCUAGAGACACAGGAUAAAAUCACCCUAAAUCUCACCCUUCUCUUAUUCUAGUUAAUU